UCCGAAUUGGUGUAGUGGCUAACAUAUGUCGCUCUCAUUGUAACCACCUUAAAAGUGGUUGUAAGACGGUGCCGACAUGCCCGGGGUUCGAUUCCCCGAUUCGGAG